GGAGUGGCUGUGGCUCAGUGGUAGAACAUCUGCUUGAUCUGUGGAAGGCCUUUGGUUCAGUCCCCAGCAUCUCCA
rnacentral:tRNA from 1 species